rnacentral:rRNA from 1 species
UACGAAGGGGGCUAGCGUUGUUCGGAAUUACUGGGCGUAAAGCGCACGUAGGCGGACUAUUAAGUCAGGGGUGAAAUCCCGGGGCUCAACCCCGGAACUGCCUUUGAUACUGGGGAUCUCGAGUCCGGGAGAGGUGAGUGGAACUCCGAGUGUAGAGGUGAAAUUCGUAGAUAUUCGGAAGAACACCAGUGGCGAAGGCGGCGACCUGGACAGAUAUUGACGCUGAGGUGCGAAAGCGUGGGGAGCAAACAGG